UACGUAGGUCCCGAGCGUUGUCCGGAUUUAUUGGGCGUAAAGCGAGCGCAGGUGGUUUAUUAAGUCUGGUGUAAAAGGCAGUGGCUCAACCAUUGUAUGCAUUGGAAACUGGUAGACUUGAGUGCAGGAGAGGAGAGUGGAAUUCCAUGUGUAGCGGUGAAAUGCGUAGAUAUAUGGAGGAACACCGGUGGCGAAAGCGCCUCUCUGGCCUGUAACUGACACUGAGGCUCGAAAGCGUGGGGAGCAAACAGG
rnacentral:rRNA from 1 species